GACGAACGCUGGCGGCGUGCCUAAUACAUGCAAGUCGAACGCUUUUUCUUUCACCGGAGCUUGCUCCAUCGAAAGAAAAAGAGUGGCGAACGGGUGAGUAACACGUGGGUAACCUGCCCAUCAGAAGGGGAUAACACUUGGAAACAGGUGCUAAUACCGUAUAACACUAUUUUCCGCAUGGAAGAAAGUUGAAAGGCGCUUUUGCGUCACUGAUGGAUGGACCCGCGGUGCAUUAGCUAGUUGGUGAGGUAACGGCUCACCAAGGCAACGAUGCAUAGCCGACCUGAGAGGGUGAUCGGCCACACUGGGACUGAGACACGGCCCAGACUCCUACGGGAGGCAGCAGUAGGGAAUCUUCGGCAAUGGACGAAAGUCUGACCGAGCAACGCCGCGUGAGUGAAGAAGGUUUUCGGAUCGUAAAACUCUGUUGUUAGAGAAGAACAAGGAUGAGAGUAAAAUGUUCAUCCCUUGACGGUAUCUAACCAGAAAGCCACGGCUAACUACAUGCCAGCAGCCGCGGUAAUACGUAGGUGGCAAGCGUUGUCCGGAUUUAUUGGGCGUAAAGCGAGCGCAGGCGGUUUCUUAAGUCUGAUGUGAAAGCCCCCGGCUCAACCGGGGAGGGUCAUUGGAAACUGGGAGACUUGAGUGCAGAAGAGGAGAGUGGAAUUCCAUGUGUAGCGGUGAAAUGCGUAGAUAUAUGGAGGAACACCAGUGGCGAAGGCGGCUCUCUGGUCUGUAA
rnacentral:rRNA from 1 species